UACGUAGGGGCAAGCGUUGUCCGGAUUAUUGGGCGUAAAGAGCGUGUAGGGCGGCCAGACAGGUCCGUUGUGAAAACUCGAGGCUCAACCUCGAGACGGCCGAUGGAAACCGUCUGGCUAGAGUCCGGAAGAGGAGAGUGGAAUUCCCGGUGGUGAGAGGUGAAAUUCGUAGAUAUCGGGAGGAACACCAGUGGCGAAGGCGGCUCUCC
rnacentral:rRNA from 1 species